GCGAGAAGGGGUUAUGGAAUAGGCACGGAAUUGGGUGGGAGUUCCAAGGACUUGAACGGGUCAGGGCUUUGAGUUAUAGAGAUAAAGAAGAGGCGAACGUUGAAGGUGAAGAAGCUGCAGAAACGGUGCUUGCAGAGUGCGGAACAAUGGCGGCCAUUCACAUGGCUUCAUCCAUGGCGCCAACCAUCAAAUUACUGAGUUCUGGUUGUAGCAACACUUUCAGAUGAGGGAGAAACCCUGAGAAAUUAAGUCUGCAGCCAAGACUUUAUUCGCGGCUUCGGUCGGAUGAAAACCGUCCCAGAAAACAUAGCCAGUGGCGUUUGAACAUGUUCCAAUUGAUCCAUUGUUGCAGAGGAGGGAGGUCUCUACUGUACCUGUUCCACAGCAAGCCCUUCUUGCCUCAAAAAACCCUGUGACAUUCAAAGUUCCAACUGGAAAGGCUUUGACACCAUAUUCAAGAGAGGUUGAUAAAUAUCAAAGACAACAAGCUUGAGACCAGAGAAUCUGUUCUGCAAACUCUGAGAUGUGCUU